CCCAGUUCGGAUUGCAGGCUGCAACCCGCCUGCAUGAAGUUGGAAUCACUAGUAAUCGCGGAUCAGCAUGCCGCGGUGAAUACGUUCCCGGGCCUUGUACACACCGCCCGUCACACCAUGAGAGUCGGGAACACCCGAAGUCCGUAGCCUGACCGCGAAGGGGGGCGCGGCCGAAGGUGGGUUCGAUAAUUGGGGUGAAGUCGUAACAAGGUAUC
rnacentral:rRNA from 1 species